CAGCCGCCGCGGGAAUACGGAGGGGGCUAGCGUUGUUCGGAAUUACUGGGCGUAAAGCGCACGUAGGCGGCUUUGUAAGUCAGAGGUGAAAGCCCGGGGCUCAACCCCGGAAUUGCCUUUGAGACUGCAUCGCUUGAAUCCAGGAGAGGUGAGUGGAAUUCCGAGUGUAGAGGUGAAAUUCGUAGAUAUUCGGAAGAACACCAGUGGCGAAGGCGGCUCACUGGACUGGUAUUGACGCUGAGGUGCGAAAGCGUGGGGAGCAAACAGGAUUAGAGACCCGUGUAGUCCCUGUCUCUUAUAC
rnacentral:rRNA from 1 species